GUAGGUGGCAAGCGUUGUCCGGAAUUAUUGGGCGUAAAGCGCGCGCAGGCGGUUCUUUAAGUCUGAUGUGAAAGCCCACGGCUCAACCGUGGAGGGUCGUUGGAAACUGGAGAACUUGAGUACAGAAGAGGAAAGCGGAAUUCCACGCGUAGCGGUGAAAUGCGUAGAGAUGUGGAGGAACACCAGUGGCGAAGGCGGCUUUCUGGUCUGUAACUGACGCUGAGGCGCGAAAGCGUGGGGAGCAAACAGGGAUUAGAUACCCUGGUAGUCCACGCCGUAAACGAUGAGUGCUAAGUGUUAGGGGGUUUCCGCCCCCUUAGUGCUGCAGCUAACGCAUUAAGCACUCCGCCUGGGGAGUACGGCCGCAAGGCUG
rnacentral:rRNA from 1 species